UACGGAGGGAGCUAGCGUUGUUCGGACUUACUGGGCGUAAAGCGCACGUAGGCGGCGAUUUAAGUCAGAGGUGAAAGCCCGGGGCUCAACCCCGGAACUGCCUUUGAGACUGGAUUGCUUGAAUCCUGGAGAGGUGAGUGGAAUUCCGAGUGUAGAGGUGAAAUUCGUAGAUAUUCGCAAGAACACCAGUGGCGAAGGCGGCUCACUGGCCCGAUACUGACGCUGAGGCACGAAAGCGUGGGGAGCAAACAGG
rnacentral:rRNA from 1 species